rnacentral:tRNA from 1 species
GCCGGGGUGGUGAAAUAGGUAGACGCAGUGGACUCAAAAUCCACCGGGCCUUGCGCCCAUGCGGGUUCGAUUCCCGCCCCCGGCACCA